rnacentral:rRNA from 1 species
ACGGGGGGAACGCGAAGAACCUUACCUGGGUUUGACAUCCUGGGAAUCUUGUAGAGAUACGAGAGUCCCUUCGGGAGCACAGAACCAGGUGUGCCAUGGCGUUGUUCAGCUGGUGUCGUGAGAUGUUUGGUUAAUUCCAGCAAGGAGGCCAACCCUUAUCUUUAGUUGCCAGCACAUAAUGGUGGCAACUCUAAAGAGACUGCCCCGGUCAACGGGGAGGAAGGUGGGGAGGACGUCAAGUCCUCAUGGCCCUUAUGUCCAGGGCUACACACGUGUUCCAAUGGUAAGUACAGAAGGCAGUGAACCGGGGACGGGGAGCCAAUCCUUAAAGGUAAUCUCAGUCCGGAUUGCAGUCUGCAACUCGACUCCAUGAAGUUGGAAUCGCUAGUAAUC